GAUGAAGAACGCAGCGAAAUGCGAUAAGUAGUGUGAAUUGCAGAAUUCAGUGAAUCAUCGAAUCUUUGAACGCACAUUGUGCCCCUUGGUAUUCCAUGGGGCAUGCCUGUUCGAGCGUCAUUUGUACCUUCAAGCUUUGCUUGGUGUUGGGUGUUUGUCUCGCCUUUGCGUGUAGACUCGCCUUAAAAUAAUUGGCAGCCGGCGUAUUGAUUUCGGAGCGCAGUACAUCUCGCGCUUGCACUCAUAACGACAGCGUCCAAAAGUACAUUUUACACUCUUGACCUCGGAUCAGGUAGGGAUACCCGCUGAACUUAAGCAUAUCAAUAAGCGGAGGA
rnacentral:misc_RNA from 1 species